rnacentral:rRNA from 1 species
UACGUAGGGGGCUAGCGUUGUCCGGAAUCAUUGGGCGUAAAGCGCGUGUAGGCGGUUCGGUAAGUCCGCUGUGAAAGUCGGGGGCUCAACCCUCGGAUGCCGGUGGAUACUGUCGGACUAGAGUACGGAAGAGGAGAGUGGAAUUCCCGGUGUAGCGGUGAAAUGCGCAGAUAUCGGGAAGAACACCCGUGGCGAAGGCGGCUCUCUGGGACGGUACUGACGCUGAGACGCGAAAGCUAGGGGAGCAAACGGG